rnacentral:rRNA from 1 species
CCCCUAGAUGUUCUGGGCCGCACGCGCGCUACACUGAACAGUUCAACAAGUCUUAACCUUGGCCGAUAGGUCUGGGUAAUCUUUGAACGCUGUUCGUGAUUGGGAUAGACCUUUGCAAUUAUGGGGCUUCAACGAGGAAUUCCUAGUAAACGCAAGUCAUCAGCUUGCAUUGAUUACGUCCCUGCCCUUUGUACACACCGCCCGUCGCACCUACCGAUUGAAUGGUCCGGUGAAAUCUCGGGACGGCGGCUUGGUCGCUUGCGUCCGACUGCUGAAACUUGAUUAAACCAUAUCAUUUAGAGGAAGGUGAAGUCGUAACA